UUGGAAGUAGUCAGUACAUGCAAGAUUUGUGGCAGUGAAGAGGAGGAUGAAUUCCAUGCGGUUGUCUCGUGCACGAAGAGUAGGGCGCUAAGGCACAGAAUGAGAGAGGAGUGGGAUCUCCCAAGCGAGGCACAGUUUAAAUUCACGGGCGUGGAUUGGCUUCAGAAUCUGCUCAUGCCGUGUGACUCGGUGAUGAGAACAAAAAUUCUGCUUCUCUUUUGGCGUUGUUGGUUUCUCCGGGAUGACUGCAUCCAUUACAAUGGGAAUGAGCUCAUAAAUAGAUCAGCGCUGUUUUUGAAGCAUUACGAGGAGGAGAUAAAUAGCCAUGGUGUUAGACUGUAUUUAUACAUAGCCUCUGUAUAG
rnacentral:rRNA from 1 species